rnacentral:rRNA from 1 species
UACGUAGGGUGCAAGCGUUAAUCGGAAUUAUUGGGCGUAAAGCGUGCGCAGGCGGUUAUGUAAGACAGUUGUGAAAUCCCCGGGCUCAACCUGGGAACUGCAUCUGUGACUGCAUAGCUAGAGUACGGUAGAGGGGGAUGGAAUUCCGCGUGUAGCAGUGAAAUGCGUAGAUAUGCGGAGGAACACCGAUGGCGAAGGCAAUCCCCUGGACCUGUACUGACGCUCAUGCACGAAAGCGUGGGGAGCAAACAGG